GAUGAACGCUGGCGGCGUGCCUAAUACAUGCAAGUCGAGCGAACAGACGAGGAGCUUGCUCCUCUGACGUUAGCGGCGGACGGGUGAGUAACACGUGGAUAACCUGCCUAUAAGACUGGGAUAACUUCGGGAAACCGGAGCUAAUACCGGAUAAUAUAUUGAACCGCAUGGUUCAAUAGUGAAAGACGGUUUUGCUGUCACUUAUAGAUGGAUCCGCGCCGCAUUAGCUAGUUGGUAAGGUAACGGCUUACCAAGGCAACGAUGCGUAGCCGACCUGAGAGGGUGAUCGGCCACACUGGAACUGAGACACGGUCCAGACUCCUACGGGAGGCAGCAGUAGGGAAUCUUCCGCAAUGGGCGAAAGCCUGACGCAGCAACGCCGCGUGAGUGAUGAAGGUCUUCGGAUCGUAAAACUCUUUUAUUAGGGAAGAACAAAUGUGUAAGUAACUAUGCACGUCUUGACGGUACCUAAUCAGAAAGCCACGGCUAACUACGUG
rnacentral:rRNA from 1 species